CUCCCAACCACAAUGCAGUGCAAUGCAGGGCCCUGAAGAACAAAGAUUAACAUGUCUCAGAGUAAUGAUUCUUCCCCUAGGGAGCAAACCUAAUCAGACUUUAUCUCUCCCUGACAUGAAACCCUAGAUACACACCCACAGAGUUUAAUUACAUAAGACUAAAAGACUAAGGGGAAUAACUGAAUUUACCUUAGAGAGAACUUCAGAUUAAGAGACGGAUAAAAUGUUUAAGAGAUGACAUCAUUCUUUGAAACUCAAAAAGCAUGGGGCUUCCCACAAGAGGGUAAGUGGUUCACAUCUCUUUUGCAUAUAUCAGGUAUCAUCAAGUACAUUAAGGCGAUACAUUAACAGCUUCUUUACGUUAAUGCCAAUGUUCAUGAAUCUCUAAAUUAAGAGCCUUUUAUGCAGUUCCAAUCCAGAGCCAUUUAAGGUAGCAUUGGUGGACAGUUCCAGAAUCUGGUAAUAUUGUGCAACUGUUGUUUGCUUCUCCAAUAUGAUCCACCUGCAGGGGUGAAGAGGUGUAGUGAGUUAACUUUCUCUUGCCUUGCCCAUAUUGGAGGGAUCCUUCUCUUUGGAAGCUGAGUAUAUGCCCAGGAAAUAUUGAUUCUUUCACUUGGAAACGGAGCAUAAACCCACAGCAACCUGCCUUGUUCCCCUAGAAGAUGGACACACACCAGGAGAAGAAAAAGGACUUUUUUUCAUGAAAACCUUCAGUUUCUUGUGGAAAGGUACUACCUACUAUUUGGUGUUCAGUUAAGUAACAAAAGCAAGCUAGACUGGGGAAAAGGACAAAGGGUUUAUACAGAGAGAAGAAGAAAAUAACUGAAGACAAGGAAACAGAUCCACCCUUUACCGCUUUUUCCAGAGAACUGUAUUUUCCCCGUUUUGGAUGUGAGCUGUAGUUUCACAAAUGUGACUUAAUUUGGGAGAAGGUGAAGGAGUUAAGUAGCAUCACACCCUGCCAACUCACACUCAAUAAAAAGGGGAGGAUGAUUAUUUUCUUCCUUUCCCAUUUCUAAAGGACAAAGUAAGAGUAAGCUUCAUUAGCAACCACUGAGUACACGGAAACAGAUUAAUUUGUCACCUUUGCUGUUUAGUAGCAGUGAUCUGGCUUCAGAGGGAAUGAUCAAAACAGGCACCCUGUAGAUCAACUUCUUCUUUCAGAAAAAACAAAGGACCAUGAAUCUCUUUGACAUCCUUAAUGAAAUCUUACCACGAGCUGAGCCCUGUGUCGGCUGCCACGGAGACAUAAAGGAAACCGAGUAUGGUGCCUGCCUUCAGAAAGUCUACUACUAAGUAGGCAGUCAGAGGCAGAACACCGAGUUAUGUAAACAACGGUACCUGAUGAAGACAGGCCCAGACCAGAGCUGCUUCAGAAAGGGUGAUCCGUGUGGGGUAGAAUAAAAAGGCAAAAAACAACACAGUGUGGGAUGUAUUUGGGCUAACAGCCUCAAACUGGAGAAGAUUUGGUCAAGAUAAGAAUAGAAAGUAAGAAAUAAAUCAAACCAUAUCUUUCUAAAUUGAAAGAUAGCAAACAUAAAAUAAAAUACAUCACGUACACUAAUCUUAAGUGCACAGUUCAAUGGUUUUACAUUUUUAUAUACCCUAGUAACCACUACCGUGUCAAGAUAUAUAGCAUUUCCAGUAAGAAAAUGUGUAUACUUUCAACAAGUCAAAUUAACUAAAACCCACAAGUUAUUUUCAGCAAUGAAACUAUAUUCUCCAGUGUAGCCUUAUAUAAUCAAGGAUUCAUUUUAUGUAAUGGUUUUAAAUAAACCCAGUGCUACAUCUUCCCAAUUUCAAUUGCAUUUAUUUAGGAGGUUUAUGUGACCAGGAAAAUUGUAAUCUAGUACAUUUUUCAAUGUUGUCUUCAAACUAUCACACUUACUUCGUCCUAUGAUUUCUGAAACUCCCUUAUGUAAUCUACGACUGAUAAUAAAACAAGCCAACGGAGCAUCUUCCUCUAUCAUGCUAAAUCCCAUGUCACUUUAAAGCCCACGAAAUAACCUAAGAAAUCAAUCUUGUAUUGGACAGGCUAUGGAAGAAGUCCUCAGAGCACCCACUGAAUCUACACAUGAGGCAAAGAAACAUCUAAGAGGAGUGAGGACAGGCAACUGACACAAAGCGCGUCAAUGAAGAAACGGACUGCUCCCCAAGUGUGCCCUGCCUGAUACUCAUGGGCAACUGGGUGACCAAGCAGGCUCUUUCUUGAGGAGUUAGAAUGUGAGAGACAUAUGGAGAAGACAUACAAUAGCAUAGUGCAGGGGCAAAGAAGCACAGAGAAAAGGAAGUGAGCAGAAAGGAGCCAAAGGAGAAAGGAGAUAGACACAUGGAGGUAGUUGGUAGGAGAGGAGGAAGAAGAUGCAUGAGUGGUGAGAAGAGCAGAGUCAACCACCUCAGCUAUGAGCAGGGCACACCACGGCAGUCACUACCUGGUGGCUAUGGGGAGGAUGCCGGAACAUGAGCCUUUGUUGUCACUUUCUGGCAGGUGGAGCAGCCUCCCUGUCCUGCAGCUGCUGAGACCUCCCAGGUAUGGAGUCUCAGGAUGGGGUCUCAGGUUGGAGUCCCAGGAUGGGGUACCAGAAACCCCAUCCACUGAGAGAACACAGUGCAUCUCUGCAUCUGGAAACCUGAAGAGCUUCACACAAAUUCUGCCUUAUAUACAAUUCAAAGAGAGCGUUUUUCUAGAUGCCAGGGGAUGUGGAGGGAUGGAAGAGCAGUGUAAAUUAUCUUAGGCAAAAACAAACAAACAAACAAACAAACAAACAACAAACCAACCAACCACAAUGCAGAAAAAAGAAUACUUUGGCAUGAAGCCAGGAGCAAUUUUGGCCCCUUUGUCUCUUAUUAUCAGUGAGAAAAAAAUGAGUUUGAAAAUACCUAACUUUGAAAUGUGUAUAUUAUAUGAAGAGAAAAAUAAUCUGAAGGUGACAUUUCAUUUUCAACCUACGUAGAUUUCAUUUGAUUAAUUUCGUUCUGUAACCACCAAAACUGAAUGUGAAUAAGACCUAAAAGACUUGUUGGGAAGCAAAUGUAACUAUCCAGGCAAUGGAUCUAUCUACACACAGAUUUUAAGAAAAUUUGGUUCAUUUAUUCCGUAGUUUCAUCUCCUAGUAUUAGAGUCCUAGACACCUUCCUUUUGAGUAUGAGGCCUUAGACUUUAAUAUCAAGAUGAUAAGAAUUAUUUUAAAAUGUAUUUAUUGUUUUAGCCAUUAGUUAGAAUAACAGAAUCAUACAUUUUGCUGUCCAAAAAAGAUAAUUUUUGAUACAAUUUAUUUUUUAUUGUUUUGGAUGGAGGGAAAGUUCCAAUCCAUAGGCCUUCCGUAUGUAUCUGAUCUUGUAAGGACAACUGAACUAUAGAGCUUACUUAAAGCAUCAUCCUUUUUCUCUAAGUAAGACACCUGUGCUCACAUCUACCAUUUUAUUAGUGGGCAUAAUAUUCCCUAGAAGUAAAUAGAAUUUUUUAUAAAUGGAGAAACUGAAAUGCUUGUUAGAGGAAAAGCUGAAUGAAAGAAGAUCCUUAAAUCUAAAUUCCUGGAAACAGAGUUGUGUUUUGUUUUGUUUUAUCUGCUAGAGUAGGGUUGAUAAAUAGGUUUCAUCUCUCAUGCCAGUUUGGAUAAAUGGAUAGUGGCUGCCAAGAGCAAUGCUGUGAAUAACUGAGGUUUCACUGGGCCUUCUUAGGGCAGAGUACUAGGAUUGAUGAGUGAUAUCUGUUGUGGGCACAGGAAUGGGGCUGGGUGUGGAAUAUCUAUAUUCCUGCACUAGGGUGAUUGAUUUUUUCAAUGUCAUAAUAAAAGCACCUAUGUAAAUAUCAACAAUAGCUUUUAUUUUCCAUAUUACCAAAGCAAUAACUUUUACUGUAGAAAGUUAGAAAACACAGAUAGCUUAAAAGUAAGACAGUAGAUGGCUGGGCAUGGUGGCUUACUCCUGUAACAUCAGCACUUCGGGAUGCUGAGGCAAGAGGAUGGCUUCACCCCGGGAGUUUGAGACCAGCC
rnacentral:lncRNA from 10 species